CGUGAGAGCACAAACAGCUGACUCCUCAGACAGGUCGUCAGGUUUAACACCCGGUCCUGUCCUCACCGCUGCAGCAUCCACCUUACCAGCUCCACAGGCUGAGUCCUCUCUCAGCCAAACACCUGAGACUGAAAUCACACCACUGCCCACCCUGGACUCCACCCC